GACGAACGCUGGCGGCGUGCUUAACACAUGCAAGUCGAACGAAAAGAGGGAAAGAGCUUGCUCUUUCCGGAAUUGAGUGGCAAACGGGUGAGUAACACGUAAACAACCUGCCUUCAGGAUGGGGACAACAGACGGAAACGACUGCUAAUACCGAAUAAGUUCCAAGAGCCGCAUGGCCCAUGGAAGAAAAGGUGGCCUCUACCUGUAAGCUAUCGCCUGAAGAGGGGUUUGCGUCUGAUUAGCUGGUUGGAGGGGUAACGGCCCACCAAGGCGACGAUCAGUAGCCGGUCUGAGAGGAGGAAAGGCCACACUGUGAAUGAGACACGGGCCAGACUCCUACGGGAGGCAGCAGUGGGGAAUCUUCCGCAAUGGGCGAGAGCCUGACGGAGCAACGCCGCGUGAGUGAUGACGGCCUUCGGGUUGUAAAACUCUGUGACCCGGGACGAAAAGGCAGAGUGCGAAGAACAAACUGCAUUGACGGUACCGGAAAAGCAAGCCACGGCUAACUACGUG
rnacentral:rRNA from 1 species